rnacentral:lncRNA from 1 species
CUUUUUUCUUUUUUUUGACACAUGGUCUUAAUGUGUCACCCAGGCUGGAGUGCAGCGGCAUAAUCAUGGCUCAUUGCAGCUCGACCUGCCAGGCUCAGGUUAUCCACCUGCCUCGGUCUCCCAAAUGCCAACUGUGGGGGGAAUAAAGUUGCUUAGCAACGUGGAAAUGGGAGAAGCUAUAAGGCUUCCCAGUGUUCACGCAAUCGUCCCUAUUUCUGUGCCUCUUCUACCUUUCAUCCCAGAGGUUAACUGGUGCUGUGAAUUCUGAAAUGUGUCAGACCCACACUGCAGUCUGAAGGCUCUCUCGACCUACGCUUGCUCCAUCUCCCGUUUAUCCUCCAUUUAUGUUUCCUCUAAUAAAUUCUUGCACAUCUAACUUUGUCAUGUCAUCUGCUUCUCUGAGGACUCAAAUUAUCACCUGGGAUUUUGGAAAGAAGUUUUAUUAGAUGUCUAGUCCACUG